rnacentral:rRNA from 1 species
CUACGCACUCCUACGGGAGGCAGCAGUGGGGAAUAUUGCACAAUGGGCGCAAGCCUGAUGCAGCCAUACCGCGUGUAUGAAGAAGGCCUUCGGGUUGUAAAGACUUUCAGCAGUGAGGAAGGUGGGUAUGUUAAUAGCAUACUCAUUUGACGUUAGCUGCAGAAGAAGCACCGGCUAACUCCGUGCCAGCAGCCGCGGUAAUACGGAGGGUGCGAGCGUUAAUCGGAAUUACUGGGCGUAAAGCGCAUGCAGGUGGUUUGUUAAGUCAGAUGUGAAAGCCCGGGGCUCAACCUCGGAAUUGCAUUUGAAACUGGCAAACUAGAGUACUGUAGAGGGGGUAGAAUUUCAGGUGUAGCGGUGAAAUGCGUAGAGAUCUGAAGGAAUACCGGUGGCGAAGGCGGCCCCCUGGACAGAUACUGACACUCAGAUGCGAAAGCGUGGGGAGCAAACAGGAUUAGAUACCCUGGUAG